rnacentral:lncRNA from 1 species
UCCUGCUCUCAGGCAACAAUUGUUUCUGAUGCUCACCAAAGCCAGUUCUCACUCCUCUCCUGCUAUCACUUCUGUUUCCAUGGAAAUGGACACCAGCUCAACUAAAACAAGGCCUACAAAAUGACAGUCAUCUUAGUCU